UGGGGAAUAUUGCACAAUGGGCGCAAGCCUGAUGCAGCCAUGCCGCGUGUGUGAAGAAGGCCUUCGGGUUGUAAAGCACUUUCAGCGGGGAGGAAGGCGAUAAGGUUAAUAACCUUGUCGAUUGACGUUACCCGCAGAAGAAGCACCGGCUAACUCCGUGCCAGCAGCCGCGGUAAUACGGAGGGUGCAAGCGUUAAUCGGAAUUACUGGGCGUAAAGCGCACGCAGGCGGUCUGUCAAGUCGGAUGUGAAAUCCCCGGGCUUAACCUGGGAACUGCAUUCGAAACUGGCAGGCUAGAGUCUUGUAGAGGGGGGUAGAAUUCCAGGUGUAGCGGUGAAAUGCGUAGAGAUCUGGCGGAAUACCGGUGGCGAAGGCGGCCCCCUGGACAAAGACUGACGCUCAGGUGCGAAAGCGGGGGGAGCAAACAGG
rnacentral:rRNA from 1 species